rnacentral:lncRNA from 1 species
GAUCGCCGCGUCUGUCUGUCGUCUGCGCUCACGCCUGGUCGCUCGUCCAACCAGGCGCACGCACGUGGUUCGCCGUCCACCAGACGCAGACGUCUCUCUGACAUCUGGGCCCGGGCAUGGUGCCGGAGCCCUCGGUUCACACUUGGGAGCCGCACGUCACGCGUUUUUCCGCUUCUACUUUCUUCUCCAUCCCACUGCACUCUUCUUCUCUGCCUGAUUAGUGAUUAGUUUAGCCCACGCACCACCAGUUGCCCCAUCGCCAAGCUCCAUUUGCUCUGCUCCUCCCCUCCGUCUCCCUCCAAAGCUAUCGUCUCCAGCAGAUCGAGGAGGCCAGGAGCACCAACAAGAUCAGCGGCUCGACUGUGCUAGGCAGGUACCUAUACCUGUUAGAUUAGAUAAUUCUCAUGUUGUCCCUGUCAAAUCUUGUUUUUUGAUUUUGGAUUUAUUCCUCAGCGAGCUCAAGACUCACUCACGGGUGACUCCUCUGUUGACUGGCUGGCUCCUAGAGUGAUUCAGUCACUACUGAUCUGCAGCUUUCUACUCUCUCUACCAUAAUAUUUGUUGUAAGGGAGAUGCAAGUAUUUAGGAACAGAGGGGAGUAAUACGUAGCAAGUAUACAAGUACUACUUAUUAGGUCGAAUUAGACCACCCAGCUGCUGCUUAGGACUGUGUAGUAUGACUUAUUUCUGGAGAGGGGAAGGGGACUAUAGCAGUUGCUCUAAUUCAAUCAAAUCCAAGGGAGGCUCACCAAUUAUAACGGAUCAGGAACCUAUAGUCUAUCACCUACAAUCUUCCGCUCUAGAGAGCUUUAUUUGGCCAGGUUUGACCCAUGCGAAAGGACGCCACGCCAACCAGGAAUCGAAUCAGUCGUUUCACUGAUAAUUGAUGUGGUAAUUCAAGGGAAUUAGAUCCCCCCGCCUUUUGAUAAUAGUAAAGGGGUUGUGGCUUUGCCUUUGCUGAGCAUCCAAGCCUCGAACAAGCAAAGAUCGAGGCAGAUGCUUGACAAGUUACUACAAGCGAUCCUCCAAAGAUUUGGUGCGGCUCAGGAAAUAUGAAUUCCAAGUUCUUUGCGAAUUUGAACUAAAACUAUGAUAUGAUACUUAUUUUGGAUCGGAGGGAGUAAGACAUUCUUGUUUGAAUUUACUUUUUUUUGCACGAUUAGAGGGUCUGACCCACCGUUGGAGCAUCAGAUCCGCAGCCCGUAGAGCAGCAGUUCAUGGACUGAUGAGGCAAUUGCAUGACAUUUUGAUAUUGCUUUGCUUUCCGAUCCUCUUGAUUGCAGCAUUUGUCUGGUGCUCGACGUGGGAAAAUAAGAACGGAAGAUUAAACUUUGGAUUGGUUGUGUGUGCAGGUAAGCGGCGGAUGGAGUUCGUGCUGAUCAUAUCCCUGCCGCUCCUCAUCCUGAUCCUCAUCAUCGCGGUCGUCCUCUGCAUCGUCUGCCGCUAGGCACAUGCGGACGCCGAAGCGCUCAGUCUGCGCUGACUGUGAUCACACCAUAUGUUGUGUUAAUCAACCCAAUAUUAAUUACACCAUGACUCGAUAGAGAAAAAGAAAGCUCUUCUCCUCCACCAUUUCUACUUUUCUGUUCUGUCACUGUGGUGUGAUUAGCUGGCUCUAAACUUUAUUGGCUUUCGUGGUGGCAACAAAAGCAUCAAUCCCGGGUGUCGAUGCUCAACGCAUAUGAUAUAUGUGGCUGUAAAAAAUAGCAAAUUCCCUUCCUGCUCCGAUUGAUUCGGGGAGGUUGGAUAUCUGAAAGUCUCAUCUUAUUUUUUUACUAGCUUUUCUUCCGAGUUCUUCGAGAUGAGAAUGUUGCAGCCUUGCAGGUUCAGGUCGCGAAUCCCCCAUGUGCCGUGUUCCUGUUCCUAAUUUUGUACUACUUUGUACCAUUUGUCGCGCCGCCCCACGAGAAAAGGUACCCGCUUUCUUAGCAAAGAAACGUAACGCGAAGCCAGCCGAAUCUGACAGAGUGGAAUGACGCCUUGUGCCCAGUCCCCACGCCUUCCGUGUGUUUCUGUCUGCAUGUUUCUUGGCUGACCUGAAGAGCUUGGGAAGCGUGAGGAUGCGUCCGAACGCACGGUGGAUAACGCCGGACGGGUCCUCAUUUUCAUUUCUCCUUCUCAACAAU